UCAACGAGGAUCAAUUGGAGGGCAAGUCUGGUGCCAGCAGCCGCGGUAAUUCCAGCUCCGUUAGCGUAUAUUAAAUUUGUUGCAGUUAAAAAGCUCGUAGUUGAAUUUCUGGUAGGAGUGACCUGGCCUUUGACGAAUGUCAAUGUUUGCUGUGUGUCAUCUCUGGCCAUCCUCGGCCUGCUUUUAGUAGGCCGUCAUUUACUGUAAAAAAAUUAGAGUGUUUCAAGCAUUUUGUAUGAAAAGAAUAUAUUAGUAUGGAAUAAUAAGAUAGGACUUUGGUGCUAUUUUGUUGGUUUGCACACCAAAGUAAUGAUGAAUAGGGACAGUUGGGGGUAUUCGUAUUUAAUUGUCAGAGGUGAAAUUCUUGGAUUUAUGAAAGACGAACUACUGCGAAGGCAUUUACCAAGGAUGUUUUCAUUGAUCAAGAACGAAAGUAUGGGGAUCGAAGAUGAUUAGAUACCAUCGUAGUCUAUACUUCAAACUAUGCCGACUUGCGAUUGUCUGGUGGUGUUUUUUGGCCCCAGGCAGCAGCACAUGAGAAAUCAAAGUCUUUGGGUUCCGGGGGGAGUAUGGUCGCAAGAUUGAAACUUAAAGGAAUUGACGGAAGGGCACCACCAGGUGUGGAGCCUGCGGCUUAAUUUGACUCAACACGGGGAAACUUACCAGGUCCAGACAUAGGAAGGAUUGACAGAUUGAGAGCUCUUUCUUGAUUCUAUGGGUGGUGGUGCAUGGCCGUUCUUAGUUGGUGGAGCGAUUUGUCUGGUUAAUUCCGUUAACGAACGAGAUCCUAUUCUGCUAACUGUUGCAACAGUCUUUGGAAUGUUGGUACACUUAGAGGGACAUUGCGUGAGUAAUGCACGGAAGAGUCGGGCAAUAACAGGUCUGUGAUGCCCUUAGAUGUCCUGGGCCGCACGCGUGCUACACUGACGCAUACAGCGAGUA
rnacentral:rRNA from 1 species